GAUGAACGCUGGCGGCGUGCCUAAUACAUGCAAGUCGAGCGAACGGACGAGAAGCUUGCUUCUCUGAUGUUAGCGGCGGACGGGUGAGUAACACGUGGAUAACCUACCUAUAAGACUGGGAUAACUUCGGGAAACCGGAGCUAAUACCGGAUAAUAUUUUUAACCGCAUGGUUCAAAAGUGAAAGACGGUCUUGCUGUCACUUAUAGAUGGAUCCGCGCUGCAUUAGCUAGUUGGUAAGGUAACGGCUUACCAAGGCAACGAUGCAUAGCCGACCUGAGAGGGUGAUCGGCCACACUGGAACUGAGACACGGUCCAGACUCCUACGGGAGGCAGCAGUAGGGAAUCUUCCGCAAUGGGCGAAAGCCUGACGGAGCAACGCCGCGUGAGUGAUGAAGGUCUUCGGAUCGUAAAACUCUGUUAUUAGGGAAGAACAUAUGUGUAAGUAACUGUGCACAUCUUGAAGGUACAUAAUCAGAAAGCCACGGCUAACUACGUG
rnacentral:rRNA from 1 species